AAGACCUUUGCGCUUUUGGAGCGGCCGAUGCCUGAUUAGCUUGUUGGUAAGGUAAAAGCUUACCAAGGCUUCGAUCAGUAGCUGGUCUGAGAGGACGACCAGCCACACUGGGACUGAGACACGGCCCAGACUCCUACGGGAGGCAGCAGUGGGGAAUUUUGGACAAUGGGCGCAAGCCUGAUCCAGCCAUGCCGCGUGAGUGAAGAAGGCCUUCGGGUUGUAAAGCUCUUUCAGCCGGGAAGAAAAGGUUGCGAUUAAUAAUCGCAAUUGAUGACGGUACCGGAAGAAGAAGCACCGGCUAACUACGUGCCAGCAGCCGCGGUAAUACGUAGGGUGCGAGCGUUAAUCGGAAUUACUGGGCGUAAAGGGUGCGCAGGCGGUUUUGUAAGUCAGAUGUGAAAUCCCCGGGCUUAACCUGGGAACC
rnacentral:rRNA from 1 species